GCCAGCAGGGAUAGCAUGUUAAAUAAAUCAGUCCCCAUGGAUCGCUCAAGAUAAGCGACGUUGCGCGUGGCUGGUAUUCGAAUGGGUGACCAUCUGCAAGCGACCUAGCGCUUACUACCC
rnacentral:rRNA from 1 species